rnacentral:rRNA from 1 species
CGGACGGGUGAGUAAUGUCUGGGAAACUGCCCGAUGGAGGGGGAUAACUACUGGAAACGGUAGCUAAUACCGCAUAACGUCGCAAGACCAAAGAGGGGACCUUCGGGCCUCUUGCCAUCGGAUGUGCCCAGAUGGGAUUAGCUAGUAGGUGGGGUAACGGCUCACCUAGGCGACGAUCCCUAGCUGGUCUGAGAGGAUGACCAGCCACACUGGAACUGAGACACGGCCCAG